UACGGAGGGGGCGAGCGUUAUUCGGAAUUAUUGGGCGUAAAGGGCGCGUAGGCGGCUGAACAAGUCAAAGGUGAAAUCCCUCGGCUCAACUGAGGAACUGCCUUUGAAACUGUUCGGCUUGAGGCCGGGAGGGGGUAGCGGAAUUCCCAGUGUAGCGGUGAAAUGCGUAGAUAUUGGGAGGAACACCAGUGGCGAAGGCGGCUACCUGGACCGGCACUGACGCUGAGGCGCGAAAGCGUGGGGAGCAAACAGG
rnacentral:rRNA from 1 species